CAAUACCCAACCCUUGGGGGGCUGGAUGGUGGGGCUGGGGGUGGAGGGGCCCGCCACCUGUGUUACUAUGUAGUGGCGUGGGGGCGGCCCUCCCACCUCUAGUUGCCCUACUAAUCCCUCCAAUUUUAAUCGCAUCUCAACAUGUCACCCCCCGGAGGGUGUAUCAUCAUUUACACCCUCCGGCCUAUUACACCACAUACACAUAAAUCCACAGAGGCUGGAGGGGGAGCACCGCUCCCCUCCAUCCCCCUUCUUUUAAUUACACCCCAUACAUUCACCAAACACACACAUUCACACAGGGGAUCGGGAAGUGCCUCUCCAUUGGGGAAUGGAGAGGCACCAUAACAGGGUGGUGGGUUGGUACACAUAUUUGGGCCUCUCCGGUGGGGGCCUGGCCCCUCUGUUGGUGGCUGGGCCACUGCAUAGAGUAAAAGCACAUCAAGAUGGUGCGGUCGGGCGUGGCGGUGGGUCUCGGGGGGGCUUUGCCGGGGUUUCUCCUUGCGGGGUCUUUCCGGGCUGUGUCGGCCGGGUGGGGCGCGGGGGUGCCUCUCCCCCUUGGGUGUGGCUUGGUGCUUGCUUUGUCUCCUGGUGGCCUUGGGGGCGGGCCCCGCGGUGUGCGGGCCCGGGGCGGCCUGCCUCGCCGGUUUGGGGGGUGGGUGUGCUGGGGGGGUGCUGGUGUCCUCACCGGGGUUGGGGCAGGGUUGUUUGGCGCCUCGGGAUGAUGCUGUUUACUGGGGGGGCGGCGUUAGCUGUUCCGAUGGUUGAGGUUGCUUUCGGCCGCCUGGUGGGUAUGUCCUGCCAUCUGCGGACUGGUGGGUGGGUCCGGGGCAUCUUUGGCUGGGGGCUGCUGUCCCGCGCUGGAUGUGUGCCGAUGGGGUGCCUCCGUCCCCGCGGUGGGGGUCGCCGGUUGCUCGCGGGCCGGCGGGGGGCGCUGCCCCGUGGCUUGCGCUGUCCGGGGGGCGGCGGGCCCUGGGCUGCUGGCCUUGUGCCGUCUGGGGCUGUGCGGUCCUGCUGGGCUGUGGCCGGGAC
rnacentral:lncRNA from 1 species